UACGUAGGGGGCAAGCGUUGUCCGGAAUUACUGGGCGUAAAGCGCGUGUAGGCGGGACGGCAAGUCUGGCGUGAAAGGCUCGGGGCUCAACCCUGGGAUGCCGGUCGAUACUGCCGGACUAGAGUUCGGAAGAGGCGAGUGGAAUUCCCGGUGUAGCGGUGAAAUGCGCAGAUAUCGGGAGGAACACCAAUGGCGAAGGCAGCUCGCUGGGACGUUACUGACGCUGAGACGCGAAAGCGUGGGAGCAACA
rnacentral:rRNA from 1 species